UGGCUCAGUUGGUAGAGCAUGGAACUUGCAACACAAGGGUUGUGGGUUCAAUUCCCAC
rnacentral:tRNA from 1 species